UACGAAGGGGGCUAGCGUUGCUCGGAAUCACUGGGCGUAAAGGGUGCGUAGGCGGGUUUUUAAGUCAGGGGUGAAAUCCUGGAGCUCAACUCCAGAACUGCCUUUGAUACUGGGGAUCUCGAGUCCGGGAGAGGUGAGUGGAACUCCGAGUGUAGAGGUGAAAUUCGUAGAUAUUCGGAGGAACACCAGUGGCGAAGGCGGCUCACUGGUCCAUUACUGACGCUGAGGUGCGAAAGCGUGGGGAGCAAACAGG
rnacentral:rRNA from 1 species